rnacentral:tmRNA from 2 species
GGGGGCGUAAAGGUUUCGACGGGGAUUCUGAGGCAUGGUAAGCGAGUAGAGGGGGCGCGACCUCUAUAAAACGAGCACUUAAAUUUAAACGCUAACGAUAAUAAUAGUUUAGCACUUGCUGCCUAAUUAGGCGGCACAUCCGCUUGUGAGGGACUGCGGGCGCAAGCCGAUGUCAUAUUUUAGCAGUGCACUUUUUCCGAAAGGGUCUCGGUUCGGUUAAGGUUUUAGGGACUACCGUUUUGUUAAGCCUGUUUAUCGGCGUGCAAAACGGGAAACGCAAUAGAUAAACUACACUCGAAGAAAGCUGUGAAGACGGAUUUUCGGACGGGGGUUCGAUUCCCCCCGCCUCCACCA